rnacentral:rRNA from 1 species
UACGUAGGGUGCAAGCGUUAAUCGGAAUUACUGGGCGUAAAGCGUGCGCAGGCGGUUUUGUAAGACAGGCGUGAAAUCCCCGGGCUCAACCUGGGAAUUGCGCUUGUGACUGCAAAGCUGGAGUGCGGCAGAGGGGGAUGGAAUUCCGCGUGUAGCAGUGAAAUGCGUAGAUAUGCGGAGGAACACCAAUGGCUAAGGCAAUCCCCUGGGCCUGUACUGACGCUCAUGCACGAAAGCGUGGGGAGCAAACAGG